UCCAAGUUUCAUAGAAGUCUGAUGAGUUAGUGACUGAAGGUAAGAUUAACCCCAUUGUCUCACUUACAAGUCAAGAAUAUUAAAGCCAAAGUGCAAACAAGACACCAAAAUCCAAAUAAUGUCCAUUCCGCUGCACCAUAAUUUUUAAAAAAAGCGUCCUUAUACUUUAGAUAACAAACUGCUGGAGCAUUGAAUAGAAUGAUUGAAGUGAAUGAUAUUAGCAGUUUUAUCAACAAAGGGGAAGAAUUAUCUGUCGACCUGGAAGGAUUGUUUUCUCUAUGUGUGUUAGGAGAAUUGCUUAAACGUGCAUGAUCUGUUUAAAUUAAUAUGAUUGAAAGACUUUAGUUAAGAAAAAGCAUGCAUCAAAGUGUGUGCAUUGCAUGGCCAACUGUAAACAAUGACCAAAGCAUGCAAUUUGACUACGAUGGCAAGCUUCA
rnacentral:lncRNA from 1 species